GCCCGUGGAGCCCUGGGCCUGUUGACCCACCAGCUUAGGAGCACUCACCAAGCUCUGGGUCAACGUGGAGGUACCAGGCCACCAUGCUCAGUCUCAAGCUGCCCCAACUUCUUCAAGUCCACCAGGUCCCCCGGGUGUUCUGGGAAGAUGGCAUCAUGUCUGGCUACCGCCGCCCCACCAGCUCGGCUUUGGACUGUGUCCUCAGCUCCUUCCAGAUGACCAACGAGACGGUCAACAUCUGGACUCACUUCCUGCCCACCUGGUACUUCCUGUGGCGGCUCCUGGCGCUGGCGGGCGGCCCCGGCUUCCGUGCGGAGCCGUACCACUGGCCGCUGCUGGUCUUCCUGCUGCCCGCCUGCCUCUACCCCUUCGCGUCGUGCUGCGCGCACACCUUCAGCUCCAUGUCGCCCCGCGCGCGCCACAUCUGCUACUUCCUGGACUACGGCGCGCUCAGCCUCUACAGCCUGGCACAGCGAUGGUGACCGGCUUUUUCCUCCCGCCUCCCAGUUUCCUGGAGCUGGAAAGCCCUGGGCUCAGUAAGGUCCUCCGCACAGGAGCCUUCGCCUAUCCCUUCCUGUUCGACAACCUCCCACUCUUUUAUCGGCUCGGGCUGUGCUGGAGCAGGGGCCACAGCUGUGGGCAGGAGGCCCUGAGCACCAGCCAUGGCUACCACCUCUUCUGCGCGCUGCUCACUGGCUUCCUCUUCGCCUCCCACCUGCCCGAAAGGCUGGCACCAGGACGC
rnacentral:sRNA from 1 species